UCAAAACUUUUCAGCUAGAGUAUGAUAGAGGAAAGCAGAAUUUCUAGUGUAGAGGUGAAAUUCGUAGAUAUUAGAAAGAAUACCAAUUGCGAAGGCAGCUUUCUGGAUCAUUACUGACACUGAGGAACGAAAGCAUGGGUAGCGAAGAGGAUUAGAUACCCUCGUAGUCCAUGCCGUAAACGAUGUGUGUUAGACGUUGGAAAUUUAUUUUCAGUGUCGCAGUGAAAGCGAUAAACACACCGCCUGGGGAGUACGACCGCAAGGUUAAAACUCAAAUGAAUUGACGGGGACCCGCACAAGUAGUGGAGCAUGUGGUUUAAUUCGAAGAUACGCGCAGAACCUUACCAACACUUGACAUGUUCGUCGCGACUUUAAGAGAUUAAAGUUUUCGGUUCGGCCGGACGAAACACAGGUGCUGCAUGGCUGUCGUCAGCUCGUGUCGUGAGAUGUUGGGUUAAGUCCCGCAACGAGCGCAACCCUCACUUUUAGUUGCCAUCAUUUAGUUGGGCACUCUGAAAGAACUGCCAGUGAUAAGCUGGAGGAAGGUGGGGAUGACGUCAAGUCCUCAUGGCCCUUACGUGUUGGGCUACACACGUGCUACAAUGGUAUAUACAACAGGAAGCAAAACGGCGACGUUAAGCAAAUCCUCAAAAGAUACCUCAGUUCGGAUUGCACUCUGCAACUCGAGUGCAUGAAGCUGGAAUUACUAGUAAUCGUGGAUCAGCGUGCCACGGUGAAUGCGUUCCCGGGUCUUGUACACACCGCCCGUCACACCAUGGGAGUUGGUUCUACCUUAAGGCAAGGUUUCAAACCCUUGACCACGGUAUAGUCAGCGACUGGGGUGAAGUCGUAACAAGGUAACCGUA
rnacentral:rRNA from 1 species